CAGUCGCCGCGGUAAUACGUAGGGCGCAAGCGUUGUCCGGAAUUAUUGGGCGUAAAGAGCUCGUAGGCGGUCUGUCGCGUCUGGUGUGAAAUCCCGAGGCUCAACCUCGGGCUUGCAUCGGGUACGGGCAGACUAGAGUGCGGUAGGGGAGACUGGAAUUCCUGGUGUAGCGGUGGAAUGCGCAGAUAUCAGGAGGAACACCGAUGGCGAAGGCAGGUCUCUGGGCCGCAACUGACGCUGAGGAGCGAAAGCAUGGGGAGCGAACAGGAUUAGAGACCCCGGUAGUCCCUGUCUCUUAUAC
rnacentral:rRNA from 1 species